UACGGGGGGAGCAAGCGUUGUUCGGAUUUACUGGGCGUAAAGCGCGCGUAGGCGGCCCGGUAAGUCCGUUGUGAAAGUCAAAGGCUCAACCUUUGAACGCCGAUGGAUACUGCCGGGCUAGAGUCCGGAAGAGGCGAGUGGAAUUCCUGGUGUAGCGGUGGAAUGCGCAGAUAUCAGGAGGAACACCAAUAGCGAAGGCAGCUCGCUGGGACGGUACUGACGCUGAGACGCGAAAGCGUGGGGAGCAAACAGG
rnacentral:rRNA from 1 species